ACGAGAAAACUCUCUCCCUCUUUCUCUCUUUCUCUCUUUCUCUCUUUCUCGUUUCUCGUCUCGCUUCUCUCUUUACUCUGGAAAAAUCCUAACAUUUGUUGAUGUGUAAUCGAGUUCAUCUUCUGCAGGAAUCAAUGGAUGGUAUUUGGAACUUCAUCAUAGACAAAGGUAAACUGUCUUGUAUCUUGAUUCUUGAGCAAAGCUUGAAACCGUUUUGUAACUAACCUCUUGAGAAUCCUUACAGCUUAUUCUUAAAAUUUCUUAAGUACUUUUGAUUUUGCAAAAAACCAAAAAAAAAAGUGCAGAUUUGAUUCACGUUUUGAUGAAAUUGGUGUUAAUUUGAUGGUAUGAUAUCAAAUUCAUCAAACUUGAAUCAAAUCAAAUUGGUGAGAGAUCUCUGUUUAGGUUUUAUUGUUGUUGGUGCUUGAUUGAUUGAAGAAACUGAGAGAGGUGUUUUUGUCUACUUACGUGGUCCGGAGAGUAAAGGCAUUGACCUAAGCCACAAGCCUCGUACUUACAACAACAAUUCAGAUCAAGCCGAGGGUGUUUCAUUCCCCGUUGCUUCACGGGAAUACGGCAUUGGAGCACAAGGAUCUUGGAGUUAGAGAGAUGAUGGUGAUGACAAAUAAUCCAGCACAUUACGUUGGUCUUAAAGGCUAUGGUUUAUCAAUUUCUGGCAAGGUUCCACUCAUUAGUCCGACCUAGUCCCUAAGUGUUUUUUUUUAGUUGGUGAAAAAUAUGACCGUUGUUUGAUCUCGUUAAGUUACGACAUAUGUUUGAAGUUGUGAGUGACUUUAGUUUGUUGUUAGUUGUGUUUUGGUGCCUAAACCAUGUGUUUUUGUUUUCUUCACCUCCAUAAUUGUCAUUAGAAUAAUUUUAAAUGGUAUCUUCUAAUUGACUUACGACUUUGAGAAAGCUUCUACAUUCCCUUUGGUCAGAUUGUUAGCAGGAGGGAUCGCCGGUUACAAGGAGGAUCAUCAACCCUGCUUUUCACAUCGAGAAGAUCAAGAUAUUGCUUCUCUCUGCUGCCUGCACCAGUUAAGACUGUAAUAUGUAAUGAUCUUUUAGUUACCUUGUUUUUUUGGUUACAGAACAUGGUCCCUGCGUUCUAUCAUUGUUGCAGCGAGGUUGUCUGCCAAUGGGAGAAGCUAUUUACAGAUAAAGAAUCGUCUCUUGAAGUCGAUGUUUGGCCUGGCUUGUGAAUAUGACUGCGGAUGUGAUCUCACAUACUGCUUUUGGAAGCAGAUAUAAAGAAGGGCAGAAGAUAUUUCAACUACAAGGAGAAAUGGCUGAGCUCAUUGCACAAGCUUUUAAGAAAUCUUACAUCCCUGGAUUGAGGUUUUACCCAACAAAGAGCAAUAGAAGGAUUAAAGCAAUAGAUUUGAUUUGAAUACAUCAUUGACAUAAGUUUCAGAAGCUUUUGUCGUAUGAGCUCAGCUUCAAUGUCUAUUUUUUUUCUUCUAAAAUUAACAAAAGUGUGAUCGAGUGAAAACUGAAAUGUGAUUCUUCACAUGACGUUGAAUCAAGCUGUUUUUUUUUUUACUUUCCUUACUA